GACGAACGCUGGCGGCGUGCUUAACACAUGCAAGUCGAACGGAAAGGCCCUGCUUUUGUGGGGUGCUCGAGUGGCGAACGGGUGAGUAACACGUGAGUAACCUGCCCUUGACUUUGGGAUAACUUCAGGAAACUGGGGCUAAUACCGGAUAGGAGCUCCUGCUGCAUGGUGGGGGUUGGAAAGUUUCGGCGGUUGGGGAUGGACUCGCGGCUUAUCAGCUUGUUGGUGGGGUAGUGGCUUACCAAGGCUUUGACGGGUAGCCGGCCUGAGGGGGUGACCGGCCACAUUGGGACUGAGAUACGGCCCAGACUCCUACGGGAGGCAGCAGUGGGGAAUAUUGCACAAUGGGCGGAAGCCUGAUGCAGCAACGCCGCGUGCGGGAUGACGGCCUUCGGGUUGUAAACCGCUUUCGCCUGUGACGAAGCGUGAGUGACGGUAAUGGGUAAAGAAGCACCGGCUAACUACGU
rnacentral:rRNA from 1 species